rnacentral:rRNA from 1 species
UGGGGAAUAUUGCGCAAUGGGCGAAAGCCUGUCGCAGCGACGCCGCGUGAGGGACGACGGCCUUCGGGUUGUAAACCUCUUUCAGCAGGGAUGAAGCGAAAGUGACAGUACCUGCAGAAGAAGCACCGGCUAACUACGUGCCAGCAGCCGCGGUAAUACGUAGGGUGCAAGCGUUGUCCGGAAUUAUUGGGCGUAAAGAGCUCGUAGGCGGUCUGUCGCGUCGGAUGUGAAAACCCAGGGCUCAACCCUGGGCCUGCAUUCGAUACGGGCAGACUAGAAUUCGGUAGGGGAGUCUGGAAUUCCUGGUGUAGCGGUGAAAUGCGCAGAUAUCAGGAGGAACACCGGUGGCGAAGGCGGGACUCUGGGCCGAUAUUGACGCUGAGGAGCGAAAGCGUGGGGAGCGAACAGGAUUAGAUACCUGGUAGUCCACGCCGUAAACGUUGGGCGCUAGGUGUGGGGAACCUUCCGACGUUCUCCGUGCCGCAGCUAACGCAUUAAC